UACAGCGGUCCCAAGCGUUGUUCGGAUUCACUGGGCGUAAAGGGUGCGUAGGCGGUCGGGCAAGUCUGAUGUGAAAUCUCACAGCUUAACUGUGAAACUGCAUUGGAUACUAUCCGGCUCGAGGAAUGGAGGGGAGACUGGAAUACUUGGUGUAGCAGUGAAAUGCGUAGAUAUCAAGUGGAACACCAGUGGCGAAGGCGAGUCUCUAGACAUUUCCUGACGCUGAGGCACGAAGGCCAGGGGAGCAAACGGG
rnacentral:rRNA from 1 species